AAGAACAAUAUGUGGAUCCAGAUAAAAGACCUCCUUUUGAUAUUAUGAUGAAUUUGAUUUGGUGACUCCUUGAUACCAAAAGUGAGGGGAACAAACUUUGAAACUAAGAAAGGUAUGAACGAGAAAAUGGAAGCGGAAAAUAGGAUUGAAGUAAAAGGAUAAGUAUUUAGAGAACUUACUAAAUUACAGACACUUCUUACUUUUAGAACUUGCCUGAGUAAGGCUCAAGUUAGGCUUAAAUGCCUUGCAAAGGCUCCUCAGCUCGUCUUAUAUAGAAGCAAGGAGAAAGCCUCGGGUGCUCAAUGAGCCCCAUCGGCAGGAUUUAACUUUAUCUGAUAAGAUCGAGUAUGAGGUGUCUUUAUUUAAAGAAGGAUAUUAUUCCUUCUGUGACAUGACUAAAGAAAGAUUUGAUUCCUUCUUUUACAAAGCACACAAAUGCCUAUCCUUUUGUAACUUUUGCAAAGAUGCUGCUUUCAAGAGAUCAUUAAAAGGCCUAUCCUUUUGUAGUCAAAUACCUAUCCCAGGGUAUUACAAAGGAUCAGGAUCGGGCACAAAGAAGUAUGACUUACGAAGAAGCAGAACUUAUAAAGGAAAGCCACAUGAUACACAUGCAAGGGUGGAAAAACGUAAGCAUUUAUUAAAAAAUAAAAAAAAACAAAUGUUAUCUUUGUGGACAGGAAGGACAUUUUGCACGAGAUUGUUCGAACAACAAAAGAAGCAGUAAAAGGGUUGCUAUGUUUGAGCAACUUGAUAUUCCCGAUGACUGAGAAAUUCUCUCUGUCCAAGAAGGUGAAAACCUUAGUGAUGCUAUCUACAACAUUUCAGAGGGGGAGGAAACAAAUGAUCUACAAAGGUCAAUACAAACGUUAAUACUCUCUGGAAAUAUUUUUAUGCUGGGACAAAUAGAUGGUGGUUAUCGACCACAGAUUAAAGUGACAGAUCAGCAGUAUGAGUGUGCCCAUCAAUGGAUAGCCAAUGUGGACACUUAUCCCCCGCAACCUAUUAAAUGCACAGGAUGCCAAAGGGACACACAGAAGAGGGCACGGAUUCAUUGCCCAAAUUGUUUAAUAACUGCAUGCAAUUUAUGCGGCCCAUAUUAUUUUGGGCAAAAGGAACAACAGAAAUACAUUUCCUGGUGUGAAUCUGAAAUAGAAAGGCUAAAGCAGGAAGUUUCUUAUUAUAAGAAUCUGUAUAAAGAACUUAAUCUAGAACGGGAUCUUCAACGUGAUUUUGAAAAUCUUGCCACUACACACUUUGAAGAAGAAGGAGAUGAAGAAAAUGAUUUGGUCACUUCUUCACAACUUGCUCAUGUGCUCUAUACAGAGGCAACUGAAAGAGUUUCUUUAACUCAAGGAAGUCCAAGUCCCCGACUUGUCAAAAUUCUAUUAUAUAAUCUUCAGGUGGAAAUUGAUAUUCCAGGUAUCCCAAAAUUUAUUUUAAGGGAAAUUUUAGAUACUGGAGCUACUACCUGUUGUGUAGAUCAACAUUCGGUACCAAGCAAAGCAUUAGAAGAAAAUUCUUUUCUAGUACACUUCUCCGACAUUAAUUCACAGCAAACAGCAAAGUUGAAGUUGAAACCAGGGAAAAUGACAAUUGGUGAUAAUAAUUUCCGAAUGCCAUACACCUACAGUUUCCCUAUGAUCUUGGGAGACAAAAUUCAGAUGAUUAUCGGCUGCAAUUUUAUUCGAGCAAUGAAUGGAGGAGUACGUAUAGAAGAAUGGCCGGAAGCAAUUCUCAAUGGUCUGGGGUUAAUCCCCCAGGCUCUACAGGAAAUCCAACAAACACCAACACCGAAGGCGGAGGAGAGUCUCUCGGAGGCAUUCAACAGCCUUUCUCAUUGGUUGAGCAAUACCAGCAGAACCUCAAGUCAAAAUCAUACCCUAUCAGCCUUGAAGCUGAUGACAAACGACGAGAAGAACUUCACCAAAUACAACAGCAAUUGGCAGUACAAGCACAAAAUGCACUCCAAUGUCUACGUAUAGUACACAUGCUCAAGGUACGGGAGUGUCAAUCUCUUAGUACAAAGGAUAACUGGUGGCAUGAUUGGUUACCAGCUACAAGACAAAUUGAUCAACAACUGGAGCAGAUAGCGUAUCUACUAAGUGAUGCGGUCCGACGCAUGUCUAAUUUCAAAAUCUAAGUGUGCUGUAACGGAAGGAAUCAAAUCCUUCUUUAGUCAUGUCAAUAGACCUAAGUGUGAUGUGUGCUUUGUAAAGGAAGGAAUCAAAUCCUUCUUUAGUCAUGUCAAUAGACCUAAGUGUGAUGUGUGCUUUGUAAAGGAAGGAAUCAAAUCCUUCUUUAGUCAUGUCAAUAGACCUGAGUGUACUGUGUGCUUUGUAAAAGAAGGAAUCAAAUCCUUCUUUAGUCAUGUCACAGAAGGAAUAAUAUCCUUCUUUAAAUAAAGACAUCUCAUACUCGAUCUUAUCAGAUAAGGUGAAAUCCUGCCGAUGAGGCCCACUGAGCACCCGAGGCUUUCUCCUUUCUUCUAUAUAAUACAAGUUCAGGAGCCUUUGCAAGGCAUUCAAGCCUAACUUGAGCCUUACUCGGGCAAGUUCUAGAAGUAAGAAGUGUCUGUAAUUUAGAGGGGUCGAGGACGUUCACAAGCCCUGAAACAGGUUACCUCAGCAACCGUCGCCCCUCUGAAAGGCCCUGGAGUCCCUAAGCGGAAAGCGAUGAGUAA